AGUUUGAUUCUGGCUCAGGAUGAACGCUGGCGGCGUGCCUAAUACAUGCAAGUCGAGCGAAUGGAUUAAGAGCUUGCUCUUAUGAAGUUAGCGGCGGACGGGUGAGUAACACGUGGGUAACCUGCCCAUAAGACUGGGAUAACUCCGGGAAACCGGGGCUAAUACCGGAUAACAUUUUGAACCGCAUGGUUCGAAAUUGAAAGGCGGCUUCGGCUGUCACUUAUGGAUGGACCCGCGUCGCAUUAGCUAGUUGGUGAGGUAACGGCUCACCAAGGCAACGAUGCGUAGCCGACCUGAGAGGGUGAUCGGCCACACUGGGACUGAGACACGGCCCAGACUCCUACGGGAGGCAGCAGUAGGGAAUCUUCCGCAAUGGACGAAAGUCUGACGGAGCAACGCCGCGUGAGUGAUGAAGGCUUUCGGGUCGUAAAACUCUGUUGUUAGGGAAGAACAAGUGCUAGUUGAAUAAGCUGGCACCUUGACGGUACCUAACCAGAAAGCCACGGCUAACUACGUGCCAGCAGCCGCGGUAAUACGUAGGUGGCAAGCGUUAUCCGGAAUUAUUGGGCGUAAAGCGCGCGCAGGUGGUUUCUUAAGUCUGAUGUGAAAGCCCACGGCUCAACCGUGGAGGGUCAUUGGAAACUGGGAGACUUGAGUGCAGAAGAGGAAAGUGGAAUUCCAUGUGUAGCGGUGAAAUGCGUAGAGAUAUGGAGGAACACCAGUGGCGAAGGCGACUUUCUGGUCUGUAACUGACACUGAGCGCGAAAGCGGGGGAGCAAACAGGAUUAGAUACCUGUGUAGUCCA
rnacentral:rRNA from 1 species